rnacentral:lncRNA from 13 species
UUCAAACAUAAACCGUUGAAUUUCCCGGAUGGAGAGGGCUGGAGAGAGAUGGGACGGGGGAAUGGCGCUGGGAAAUUCUUGCCCUUAAAGCUACGCCCCCUCGUGGACCCGGAGGCAAGAAUUGAGGGGGAUGCAGACCCAUACAGAAACGCUGCCAGUAUCAACAGACUUUUGCAGAAAGACAUGGGGAGAGAAUGAAAAAGAGAUGUGACGAGUAGAGGGAAGAAAAAGAAGAGGGAUGACAUGGUACUUUGUUUAUAAACAAAUAUGCUGAUGUUCGAGAGGUUUGCUCUAGAUUUCAACUCUGAAAUUUUAUAGAAUUGAGAACUCUGGAAUUAAGAAAAUUGGUAUUAUCAAUGUGAGUUUAAGAGAAUAUGUAUUUUGGAGCAUGUCUGUCAAGCCUAAAUCACUUCACCAGGGGAUUUUUCAGCAGUAUGCUUUGCCUUAAUUGCUGAAAGUCUGUCUAUGCUGGUGAGAAGCAGCAGCCACGACAUGCCAGUUCUAGUCACUUCUAGUACUGUUAGAGGGAUUGCCAUCUUCUCCUAUGAAGGCAUCUGUGGAAAGAGGGGUCUCUUGAAGACAAAACUCUCUUCUUGGGUUAUGUUAGAAGCAUAGGAGGGUGGUUUAAAGGGCUGCGUUUACUGUGUUUCUUUUUCCCCUGCAUCUCAGAGUUAUGCAUUGUAAAUUACAAUUUGUACUUUCUCAAAGACCAGUUGCAUAAUCUCUCACGUUCUUGUUCUAGUUGUAGAUUCUUGCUCAGGCACUCUUCAUAGGUAAAGUUUACAUUUUAAUGGUCUUUUUAGCUGCACUUAAAAAAACAAGAGUUUGUUCUUUCUCAUUAAGAAGUAUACAUUUUUACUUUAGUAUUUUAUCUUUCUUACAUUAGUCGUAUAGUGUUUUGUUUUGUGCUUUUAGUUCAUAAUUGUUGACAUAAACUAAUGAGUUUCUGAAACUAACAAACUAUUGAGCUGCUAAACAUAACAUAUUGUGUUUUCUAUUGGAAAUAUUUGUAAUAGAUUUUCUCCUUUUUCAUUCCUUCUCAUGAAAUAAGUUUUCCUUUUUUAAUUCCCAAUCACUCACAGUUAUAUGGAUAUAGUGAGAAUUUUGUCUUUAUGAAAGUAAGACAUUAAAAAAAAUCAUAACCCCACUUACCAAAUAUGAUUUUACUGAAAAUGCCACAAUAUAUAUCUA